rnacentral:rRNA from 1 species
GUGGAUCGGCUGCCUGCUAUACAUGCAGUCGAGCGAACGGACGAGAAGCUUGCUUCUCUGAUGUUAGCGGCGGACGGGUGAGUAACACGUGGAUAACCUACCUAUAAGACUGGGAUAACUUCGGGAAACCGGAGCUAAUACCGGAUAAUAUUUUGAACCGCAUGGUUCAAAAGUGAAAGACGGUCUUGCUGUCACUUAUAGAUGGAUCCGCGCUGCAUUAGCUAGUUGGUAAGGUAACGGCUUACCAAGGCAACGAUGCAUAGCCGACCUGAGAGGGUGAUCGGCCACACUGGAACUGAGACACGGUCCAGACUCCUACGGGAGGCAGCAGUAGGGAAUCUUCCGCAAUGGGCGAAAGCCUGACGGAGCAACGCCGCGUGAGUGAUGAAGGUCUUCGGAUCGUAAAACUCUGUUAUUAGGGAAGAACAUAUGUGUAAGUAACUGUGCACAUCUUGACGGUACCUAAUCAGAAAGCCACGGCUAACUACGUGCCAGCAGCCGCGGUAAUACGUAGGUGGCAAGCGUUAUCCGGAAUUAUUGGGCGUAAAGCGCGCGUAGGCGGUUUUUUAAGUCUGAUGUGAAAGCCCACGGCUCAACCGUGGAGGGUCAUUGGAAACUGGAAAACUUGAGUGCAGAAGAGGAAAGUGGAAUUCCAUGUGUAGCGGUGAAAUGCGCAGAGAUAUGGAGGAACACCAGUGGCGAAGGCGACUUUCUGGUCUGUAACUGACGCUGAUGUGCGAAAGCGUGGGGAUCAAACAGGAUUAGAUACCCUGGUAGUCCACGCCGUAAACGAUGAGUGCUAAGUGUUAG